rnacentral:rRNA from 1 species
GAUGAACGCUGGCGGCGUGCUUAAUACAUGCAAGUCGAACGGAAAGGCGCUGCUCUUGUUCGUUGCUCGAUAGGCGAGCGGGGGAGUGACACGUGAGUAACCCCCCCUUGUCUGUGUGAUAACUCCAGGAGACUGGGGCUAUUACCGCGGAGGAUCUCCUGCAGCACGGGGGGGGUUGGUGAGAUUCGGCGGUUGGGGAUGUACUGGCGGCUUAUGAGCUGGUUUGUGGGGUAGUGGCGUCCCAAGCCUUCGACGGGUAGCCGGCCUGGGAGGGUGACCGGCCACAUUGGGACUGCGAUACGGACCAGAAUCGUACGGGAGGCAGUGGUGGGGAGUAUGGCACAAUGGGGGGACGCCUGAUGCAGCAGCGCCGCGUGCGGGAUGCCGUCCUUCGGGUUGUAAACCGCUUUCGCAUGUGCCGAAGCGUGAGUGACGGUAAUGGGUAAAGAAGCACCGGCUAACUACGUG